rnacentral:rRNA from 1 species
GUAGGUGGCAAGCGUUGUCCGGAAUUAUUGGGGCGUAAAGCGCGCGCAGGCGGUUUUUUAAGUCUGAUGUGAAAGCCCACGGCUCAACCGUGGGAGGGGUCAUUGGAAACUGGAGAACUUGAGUGCAGAAGAGGAGAGUGGAAUUCCACGUGUAGCGGUGAAAUGCGUAGAGAUGUGGAGGAACACCAGUGGCGAAGGCGACUCUCUGGUCUGUAACUGACGCUGAGGCGCGAAAGCGUGGGGAGCAAACAGGAUUAGAUACCCUGGUAGUCCACGCCGUAAACGAUGAGUGCUAAGUGUUAGAGGGUUUCCGCCCUUUAGUGCUGCAGCAAACGCAUUAAGCACUCCGCCUGGGGAGUACGGUCGCAAAGACUG